rnacentral:rRNA from 1 species
GUGGUGGGAUCGGUUAGUCUCUUUGAGACUAAUACGGACCGGCAAACGGGUGAGUAACGCGUUGGUAACCUGCCCUCGAGACGGGAAUAGCCUACCGAAAGGUGGAUUAAUGCCCGAUAGUCAUACAAAGCAUAUGUUUUGUAUGUAAAUACGUUAAGUGCUCGAGGAGGGGUCUGCGUCUGAUUAGCUUGUUGGUGAGGUAAAGGCUCACCGAGGCAUAUCAGUAGCGGGCGUGAGAGCGUGGCCCGUCACACUGGGACUGAGACACUGCCCAGACUCCUACGGGGGGCUGCAGUCAUGAAUCUUCCACAAUGGCCGCAAGGCUGAUGGAGCGACGCCGCGUGUGGGAAUGACGCCGAAAGGUGUAAACCACUUUUCUGGGGGACGAAUUCGUGACGGUACCCCAGGUAACAAGGGGCUGCUAACUUCGUGCCAGCAGCAGCGGUAACACGAAGGCCUCAAACGUUAUCCGGAAUUACUGGGCUUACAGGGUCCGCAGGCGGUUUAGUAAGUUGGUAGUAAAAUCUUCAGGCUUAACCUGGAGGCUGCUACCAAAACUACUAAACUUGAGGCUGGAAGAGGUGGAUGGAAUUCUCGGUGUAGUCGUAAAAAGCGUUGAUAUCGAGAGGAACACCGAAUGCGAAAGCAAUCCACUGGGACAAGCCUGACGCUCAGGGACGAAAGCAUGGGUAGCGAAGCGGAUUAGAUACCCGCGUAGUCCAUGCCGUAAACAAUGUGCACUAGCUAUUGGGAGUAUCGACCCUCUCAGUGGCGCUUUUAAAAAAGUUAAAGCGUUAAGUGCACCGCCUGGGGAGUACGGCCGCAAGGCUUAAACUCAAAGGAAUAGACGGGGGGCCGCACAAGCGGUGGAUCAUGUGGUUUAAUUCGAUGAUACGCGACGAACCUUACCUGGGCUUGACAUCCAGCUGCACGCCCUUGGAAACAAGGGAAGCCUUCGAGGGUGCUGGACAGGUGUUGCAUGGCCGUCGUCAGCUCGUGCCGUGAGGUGUUCCCUUAAGUGGGAUAACGAGCGUAACCCUUGUCGUAUGUUAAAUGUACAUGCGAGACUGCCGGCGCAAGUCGGAGGAAGGUGAGGAUGACGCCAGGUCAGCAUGGCCCUUACGCCCAGGGCUACACACAUGGUACAAUGGUCGGUACAACGGGCAGCCAACCCGCGAGGGGGAGCUAAUCCUUCAAAACCGAUCUAAGUUCGGAUUGCAGUCUGCAACUCGACUGCAUGAAGCUGGAAUCGCUAGUAAACGCAUAUCACCAACGUUGCGUUGAAUAUGUUCUCGGCCCUUGUACUCACCGCCCGUCACACCACGAAAGUUGGCAACACCCGAAGCUCCACGUAAGUG